rfam:Gossypium arboreum cultivar AKA8401 contig_32720_1, whole genome shotgun sequence.
AAUCCGUGGUGUGGGCACUUUUGAAUCAAUGUUCUAAAGUGAUCUCAUGCCUCAUGGAAACUUUCCCCUUCCAUCUAUCUAAAGACAACAAUCUCUCUUCUUAGUUG